AAGUUCUCACCAUUCAAAUGAAGUGUACCGGUCCGAGCUGCAGUUUCACGACCUUGCCCUUUAUCAUUACGGUUAUCGAUAUUAAUGACCAUGCACCAGUUUUCUAUAAUUAUCCCUAUGAAGCGCAUAUUAGUGAAUUUCACGGCGUGGGACUGGCAGUCCUGGAGGGUGUUACGGCGUUCGACAAAGACUUACCCAACAUGUACACCGCCAACACGGGAAUUCAGUACAAGUACGCCAUUACGGCCGUCACACAGUACAAUGCGCAUCGAGCAUCUCACAAACGGCAAAUUAUCCCGGAAAGUACGUCCGGGCAACAGCCAGAAGCUAAGGGCGCGGAUUUUAAACUGAGUUUUGAUCUUCAAACCACCGAACCGGCACCUAAGUCGAUUUUGUCCAAUCUGACCACGAAACGUAAUGGAAAUCGGAAGAGAAGUUCCAUUAAAAAUCACAGGAUUAACGGUCGAAAAAUAGAAAUAUUUAAUGCCGGCGUGCAUUAGAAUGCACAACAUCGGAAAGCCGGCAACUAACAGGAAGUUCAGAAUAAUUUUCCAUAAAUCCGAAGUCUUCCACGAGAGUAGGACAAUCGACGGAUCCGAAGGACGAAAACAGUAUCAGCAAAAUCAAAGCAAUACGAAUUCCACGGAAUCGGGAGCUGAAGACGGAGAGCAGACUGCUGGUUAACAAUGGGAGCAAAAAAACUGGAAUGUUUCUGGAUGGCGGCUUCCAGCGUUCCCGCAUUGUAUCCUUGGAUCUGGUCGAUGGCUUUUCCAUCUUUGAAUAUCACGAAAGAGGACUGCAAUAAAAACGAAUUCGUCAGCUACUGGAAAUCUGGGAUGCGAGAAUUUACAUGAUGCUACAGUACUCACAGUGGCCGUAACGUUGUACUCCUGAUGGAUAUCAUCAGCCUUGUCCAUGUCCACCUUGACGAACUGGACGACAUUCGCGUACGUGCGAGAUAAGUGAUGAUAAGGUACCGCGAUCUCAUCAACGGACGAUGACGAAUAAAAUUUAGAAAUGACCAGUUUGGCUCCAGCUUCCCGCAGCAAUCGAUUCAUGUCGUAUUUUGAUUUUAUGGACUUCAGACUAGGCAUCGUAAUUGUCGAUGGGAAAUAACGGCAGAAUUCUCAAACGGCGGGCUUACCAAAUAUCAAUGAAGACUAGAAACGGCUGAAUAUUAUUGUAAUAUUGUUAUAACGGGAAGAA